GAAUAGAUUUAGGUUCUUUGGGUGAAGGAUUCCACACGUGACUAGAAUAGGUUAUUGGAGGAUCACCCAAACGGACUGCAUGGUAGGUUUGUGACUGGACACCUGUAGAUGCUUGGCUUCACUGCGUCGUUUGACUCUUCCCAAUAAACUCAUCAUCUCGGGUACUUGGACAGGACAGAUCUGCCGUAUCCAAUCAGUAGCAGUAGGAGAGGGGUCUUUUCAUAUCGUCUGGGGUGGUUGACCAAUCAGCAGAGGGCGCUUCAUCAGGGCCAUCAUGGCAGGGGAAGAUUGAGGACGAAGUGCACUCACCAACUUUCAUCACCUGCUGGCAUCGUCACUGCUUACAUCUUUCUCAACUCCACAAACCACCAUCCAUCCCAACCAACGUCUUUUUAACUAUUGAAGACUGACACCUGCUACAUAUUAAGGUAAAUGCAUCUCCUGUCUUUAACUAGUUUAGGGGCUUAGAAACUCAUGAGGGAGCUCUAGAGAUGUCGUACAGACUGCAGACAGAGAAUAAAAAUGAAGCAACUGAUGGAUGAGGACUGAACCAUUGUGACUGGAGAGAAAACUUCAUGCUACUACACUCCUUCAACUCUGCGCUUGAUAUACAUUUUUUUGUUAUAGUAUAUUGAUUUUUUUUGCACAACAAUAGACAGACUUGUACAGUUGAGAACUCCAGCUAUUCUAAAGACUUUCUGAUAGUACCCUAAUUACUUACAGCCUGAUUUGCCACGUUAUCAAAAUUUGGUCUUGUUUUCAAGUCAUUGGAACAAGUCUCCCUGGUUCAUAAUUUUUAUUUUUUCUAUUUUUUGCUGUGUUUUGUCCCUUUAAAAGUUUUAUAAUUUUCCUGUAUUUAUACGGCUAUAGAACAUCUUGCUCAUGCAGUAAGUGCACUAUGUUUGGUUUAAAAAGGAAUUUUGUCCAUGUACUGGUUACAAUCAAAUUUCUGUAAUGGUUUGACAUCUUAACAUAUUUCACAAAUUUAUCUGAUGGGGGGGGGGUUACAUGUACCUUUUUUAUUGAUUGGUACGCUGAAUGCCCCUUUUUUAGUUUUAAGAUUUAAUGUACCCAAUCCAGGGGAAAAAUUAGACGGGGGCUCAGGGAUUCCCCCCCCCAAAAAAAAAAAUGCUCACAAGAGCCCAGGAAACUUUUAAAAAAGGGGCCCUGGAAAAUUCCCCUUUUUUGCAAUGUUAAAGCUUAUUGAAUGUUGCAGAUUGAGGUCAUAAGUUGUAUUAAAAGCAUACCCCUGAAGUUUGAAUUUUUUUGCCUGACUCAUACCAAGAUAUAUAAUACCUUUUUUGUGUCUACAUGUAUUAAAGGAAAAAUUAUAUCAUAUACAGUUUAUAGACAUAUAAACUGUAUUUUUCUUUAAUACAUGUAGGCACAAAAAAGGUUAUGCAUAAAGAUCUUUAAAAUAUAUCUACUUUUAAAACUUGCCACACGCCAGGGCUCCUGUUUCCACAAAAUAUAUCAUUUGAUAUACAUGUUGUUGGCUUAUUUCUGGAGACUGGAGGGCUUCAUCCAAUUAUGUUCGUAAAAGUUGAAUAAAUUGGCUUCACUCAGUUCCUUGAAAAAUCAGUAUGUAUUAUAGAUUCCAAAUCUCUAGAUGUAUUCAGUGACAAGAAAAAUAAUAUUGUAAAAAAUGUCCUCGCACAAAUUGGAGAGAAAUAUUGCACUGAAAAUCAUUCAGUGUUCAAAUGGAUGGAAAUUGCAGCUCUUGGCUAGAUUUUUUUGUGUGUGAUUUCAUAGCUAGGCUUUUUUUUUUGGCCUGAAUUGCUAUGUCAGGAAGAAUUGUUAUGCAUAAUAUAAUCAUGAUUUUGAAAAUGAAACUCUGUCAUGAUCAUUGGAAGAUCAACUUUAAGUUGUUAUGUAUAUUGUCUGAUGGUGACAAUUAUGGUUAUUUUUUAUGCUGCAGUAUUGGAGGUUAAAGGUCACAGAGGUUAUUUAAAUGGCUCGCCCUUGCAGUAACUAACAAACGUUGCUCAUGUUAAGAAAACAAAAUCUGAAUACAUGUACAUGUAAUUAUGGUGGGAGGGUCACAUGGCUCGAAAGGUCACCUUAAACUCCAACUGUGGAAAGCUUAUGAGCUGAUCUACAAAAAAUAUUUUCUUUGUAGCAGGUUUGCUUUGCAUAAGCAAAAUAAAAGUCUUUCAAAGUCAUGACCUUGAAAAUCAUGAUUUUUGAAUAAAUGAACUUUAUUUAUUUAUUUUAUUGUACUCUUCAAGAUACACAUUUCCUCAAAAUAUCAUGCGAAUCCAAUGAUUAGAACUGAAGCUACAUGUACAUGUAUUACAUGUGUCAUGGGAAUAACCUCAUUUUGUACAAUUUUAUGAUAACACAUGUUUUACAUUGUAAAACUCCUUUAGUUUUUACAAAAAUUUCGUUUUGACCCCCCUCUUAUAAUAAUAAUAUGUCCAUUUAUAUAGCGCAGUUACUAUGUGCAUAUACUCAACUGUGCUUUGAUACUUGGUAUCAUGUUAUUACCCCGGCUGUAGCUAAGCCGCCAUAAUAAUAGGCGCUAAAGCGUUCAAGGAAUAAAUCCUACCGGGUACCCAUUCACCUCACCUGGGUUGAGUGCGGCACAAUGUGGAUAAAUUUCUUGCCGAAGGAAAUUACGCCAUGGCUGGGAUUUGAACCCACGACCCUCUGUUUCAAAGUCCGGAGACUAAUCCACUGGGCCACAAUGCUCCACAAAUAAUGAUUGCUUAUAAAAAAAAGAGGUGGAAUAUUGAAAUAAAUAUGUUGCAUGAUGAAGUACUACACACAUUAAACUAACCAAAAAGAAAAAAAAAGAAAA